rnacentral:rRNA from 1 species
GCAACGAUAUCCCUUAAGAUGUUUCGAAGGGAGGUAUCAGCCACCUUGGAGCUGGAACGACUAGAUCUAACCGAAGCAACGAUUGAUAUUGCACCAUUGGGCGGCAUGCCUUGAUGCAGCCAUGCGCGCGGUAGAAAGAAAGCUUCGGGUGUUAAGUUCUUCAGUCCGGGAGGAGGGGGUGGUAAGUUAAUAACCUAUCCAUUACGUUACCGACAGAAGAAGCACCGGGCUACUCCGUGCCAGCAGCCGCGGUAUACGAGGGGUGCAAGCGUUAAUCGGAAUUACUGGGCGUAAAGCGCACGCAGGCGGUUGAUUGAGUCAGAUGUGGAAAUCCCCGGGCUUAAACCCGGGAAUUGCAUCUGAUACUGGUCAGCUAGAGUCUUGUAGAGGGGGGUAGAAUUCCAUGUGUAGCGGUGAAAUGCGUAGAGAUGUGGAGGAAUACCGGUGGCGAAGGCGGCCCCCUGGGCAAAGACUGACGCUCAGGUGCGAAAGCGUGGGGAGCAAACAGGAUUAGAUACCCUGGUAGUCCACGCUGUAAACGAUGUCAACUUGGAGGUUGUGCCCUUGAGGCGUGGCUUCCGGAGCUAACGCGUUAAGUCGACCGCCUGGGGAGUACGGCCGCAAGGUUAAAACUCAAAUGAAUUGACGGGGGCCCGCACAAGCGGUGGAGCAUGUGGUUUAAUUCGAUGCAACGCGAAGAACCUUACCUACUCUUGACAUCCAGAGAACUUAGCAGAGAUGCCUUGGUGCCUUCGGGAACUCUGAGACAGGUGCUGCAUGGCUGUCGUCAGCUCGUGUUGUGAAAUGUUGGGUUAAGUCCCGCAACGAGCGCAACCCUUAUCCUUUGUUGCCAGCGGUUAGGCCGGGAACUCAAAGGAGACUGCCAGUGAUAAACUGGAGGAAGGUGGGGAUGACGUCAAGUCAUCAUGGCCCUUACGAGUAGGGCUACACACGUGCUACAAUGGCAUAUACAAAGGGAAGCGACCCCGCGAGGGCAAGCGGAACUCAUAAAGUACGUCGUAGUCCGGAUUGGAGUCUGCAACUCGACUCCAUGAAGUCGGAAUCGCUAGUAAUCGUAGAUCAGAAUGCUACGGUGAAUACGUUCCCGGGCCUUGUACACACCGCCCGUCACACCAUGGGAGUGGGUUGCAAAAGAAGUAGGUAGCUUAACCUCCGGGAGGGCGCUUACCACUUUGUGAUUCAUGACUGGGGUGAAGUCGUAACAAGGUAACCA